rnacentral:rRNA from 1 species
CGCUGGCGGCAUGCCUUACACAUGCAAGUCGAACGGCAGCACGGAGCUUGCUCUGGUGGCGAGUGGCGAACGGGUGAGUAAUAUAUCGGAACGUACCCAGGAGUGGGGGAUAACGUAGCGAAAGUUACGCUAAUACCGCAUACGUCCUAAGGGAGAAAGUGGGGGCUCGCAAGACCUCAUGCUCAUGGAGCGGCCGAUAUCUGAUUAGCUAGUUGGUGAGGUAAAGGCUCACCAAGGCAACGAUCAGUAGCUGGUCUGAGAGGACGACCAGCCACACUGGAACUGAGACACGGUCCAGACUCCUACGGGAGGCAGCAGUGGGGAAUUUUGGACAAUGGGGGCAACCCUGAUCCAGCAAUGCCGCGUGAGUGAAGAAGGCCUUCGGGUUGUAAAGCUCUUUUGUCAGGGAAGAAAAGGGAUUGGCUAAUAUCUGAUCCUCAUGACGGUACCUGAAGAAUAAGCACCGGCU